rnacentral:rRNA from 1 species
GAGUUGUAAUUUGUAGAGGAUGCUUUUGGCAAGGUGCCUUCCGAGUUCCCUGGAACGGGACGCCAUAGAGGGUGAGAGCCCCGUCUGGUUGGAUACCGAGCCUCUGUAAAGCUCCUUCGACGAGUCGAGUAGUUUGGGAAUGCUGCUCUAAAUGGGAGGUAUAUGUCUUCUAAAGCUAAAUAUUGGCCAGAGACCGAUAGCGCACAAGUAGAGUGAUCGAAAGAUGAAAAGCACUUUGAAAAGAGGGUUAAAUAGUACGUGAAAUUGUUGAAAGGGAAGCGCUCAUGACCAGACUUGGGCCCGGUGAAUCAUCCAGCGUUCUCGCUGGUGCACUUUGCCGGGCUCAGGCCAGCAUCAGUUUGCUCCGGGGGAUAAAGGCUUUGGGAAUGUGGCUCCUCCGGGAGUGUUAUAGCCCUUUGCAUAAUACCCUGGGGCGGACUGAGGUUCGCGCAUCUGCAAGGAUGCUGGCGUAAUGGUCAUCAGCGACCCGUCUUGAAACACGGACCAAGGAGUCGUCUUCGUAUGCGAGUGUUCGGGUGUAAAACCCCUACGCGUAAUGAAAGUGAACGCAGGUGAGAGCUUCGGCGCAUCAUCGACCGAUCCUGAUGUUCUCGGAUGGAUUUGAGUAAGAGCAUACGGGGCCGGACCCGAAAGAAGGUGAACUAUGCCUGUAUAGGGUGAAGCCAGAGGAAACUCUGGUGGAGGCUCGCAGCGGUUCUGACGUGCAAAUCGAUCGU